rnacentral:lncRNA from 1 species
AUUCAGGAGAAUUAACAACUCACUAACUCCAUAUUUAUGGUCCGAUAAUUCAGCAUCAUAAAAAGUGAGACCACGUGCUCGACGGUUACAUCAGAAUUAUCUAUAAAAAGGGGUAAGUGAACAGGACGAGUAAGAUAUGUUUUAGCCGGAGUUCUGCUACUUUCAACUUCUAAAUCUACUGUUCAUCAAUUUUCUCUCUGAC